AUGACCGGGGCAGACCUGGCACCAGUAAUGGAGUUGAAGGCUGUGGCAAAUGGAGGAACAUCCACUGAAGUUGUUGCUUCUGAUAAGAAGGAUAAUACCAAGAUGGAAGAGGCUGGCGAGAGCAAGGAUGUUGCAGCAGCGAAUACCAAUGCCAACCAACAUAAUAAAGCCUCAGAAAACGGCGCUAAGGGCUCAUCCGAUGAUGAUGCCAAGAUGGAGGAGGCUGAAGAUGCAAAGGAAGAUGAUGUGGGUGCUGUGAAGCAGGCAGGUACAGAGGGUGUCAAAUCGGGUGACAAUGCGGAUGCCAAGGAAGGUAAUGGUGCCAAUGCAGCAGAACAUGAGGAUUCCAAAACGGCUGCUAUUGAGGAUGUAGUUGCAAAGGAAGAUGACAACACCAAGUCAGCAAAACACAAGGACUCCAAAAUGGUUAUUGUAGAGGAUGCAGAUGCAAAGGAAGAUGACAAAGCCGCCAAGGCAGCAGAACACGAGGAUUCCAAAACGGUUGGUAUCGAGGAUGUAGUUGCAAUGGAAGAUGACAACACCAAGUCAGUAGAAUACAAGGACUCCAAAAUGGUUAUUGUAGAGGAUGCAAAUGCAAAUGAAGAUGACAAAGCCAAGGCAGCAGAACACGAGGAUUCCAAAGCGGCUGGUAUUGAAUAUACAGUUGCAAAGGAAGAUGCCGUGUCAGCAGAACACAAGGACUCCAAAAUGGUUAUUGUAGAGGAUGCAGAUGCAAAGGAAGAUGACAAAGCCAAGGCAGCAGAACACGAUGAUCACAGAACAGGUGGUGUGGCAGCAGAACACAAGGAUCACAGAACAGGUGGUGUGGAGGAUGCAGAUGCAAAUGAAGACAUUGGCGCCAAGGCUGAAGAGUUCAAGGAUGGCAACAUGAAUACUGUAGACAAUGCAGAUGCAAAGGAAGAUGAAUAUGCCAAUGCAUCAGAACAUGAAGAUGCCAAAAUGGUUGAUGUGGAUGAUGCAGAUGCAAAGGAAGAUUAUGGCACCAAGGUAGCAGAACAUGAGGAUGUCAAAAUGGGUGCCGUGGAGGAUACUGAUGCAAAGGAAGAUAACAACACCAAGGAAGCAGAACAUCAGGAUAUCAUAAUGGGUGCGGUAAAGCAUGCAGAUCUAAAAGAAGAUAACAGUUCUAAUGUAGCAGAACGCGUGGAUGUCAAAAUGGCGGAGGCUGAGACCAAUCCAGGAGAUGCAGAGCUCGAAGACAAAGGGCACAAGGAAGAAAUGGAUGUGAACACAGAGGUCAAGAAGGGACCGAGAGAUGCAGAAAAAUGUGGUUCUGAGAUGCAUGAUGAAUUGAAUGGGCAAGGAAAGAAUGGAGCGGCUCGGCAGCAAGAAAAUACAGCUGAAGAAAUGAGUGAUGAUGAUAGUCAAGGGGAAGAGGAAGUAGAAGAAAAGGGCUCUUCAGAUAAGAAAGAGGAAGGAGGGGAUGGUAAGGCAAACGAGAAUGAAGAGAAGCUAGAAAAAGAAAGUGCGAACAAGGAAGGAAAAGAUGGCAAGGUAACAGAAGAGGAGGCCAGCGAGGCAGACAAGAAUGUGGAAGAGAAUAAGGAGGAAACACCUAAGAACAAGAGGGCAAGGAGUUCUAGGGAUAGACGCCAGGGACAGGACAAGAAACAACAUGGGUCCAAAUCCAGGGAAGCCAAAAGUUUACUGUACACUCCCAGCCCUUAUGGUAUUGAUCGCCCUCAACGUGAGAGGAAAAUAGUAGAGAGGUUGGUUGAAGUGAUUGAUAAGGAGCCAAACAGGAGCUUCGUAGUUGAGAAGGGUCGUGGCACUCCUUUAAAGGAUAUACCAAGUGUGGCACAGAGGUUAACGAGGAAGAAACCUGCUGAUCUUAAAUUUCUUCACAAUGUUCUUUUUGGGAGGAAAGGCAAGUGGCUUAUGUUCUCAAUGUUCCAGACUGUCGAUUUUAAAGGCCAUAUACUUCAGUUCUCUGGAUUUGUGUGGCAUGAGAGCGAUGAAAAGCAGAGAGCCAAGGCAAAGGAGAAGCUUGACAAGUGUAUGAAAGACAUGCUGGUGGAUCUCUGUUGGCUUCUUGCUAUUCCGGUUCCCAAAACAAACAUCAGAAAGGAAGAUAUCGUUGCAAAGCUGUUGGAUUUCAUUGCUGAACCUCGUCUUAUGCCUGAUUCUGGCCUCUCUGAUGACCAGGGGUCAAAUUCUAGGAAACGCAAGAGAGGAGGUGGUAGUUCGAGCAAGACUUUGGAUAUCACUCCCAAGAGGUCUAAGAAGAAAUUUGCUGACGACAUAUCUCCAAGGCGAAAGCAAGCUCUGGAGUAUGAUACGGAUGAAGAUGUGAAGUCUGAUAGCGAGGAAGAUGCAGAUGAAUCUCAUGAUGAGCAGGAAGAUGGCUAUGACUCUGCCGAAGAUAAGGCAAAUAGGAAGUCCUCGGAAGUAAAAUAUUCUGCAGGUAAAAAGAAGGCUGCUGCUGGGAGCACCCAUAGGACAAGUCCGCCAAGGACAGCAAGCAAGACUGCGGGCAAAACAUCACCAUCCAAAGGUUCCAAGGAAAAGGAGAGCCCUGAUGAGAGUGCAAAGGUCUUCUCUAGGAAGAAGAAACCCAUCAUAUCAAAGCAUACUCCAAGCUCUGGAAAGGUGAUAGAAGAAAAUAAGUCAUCAGGUAAAGAGGCAAUGAAGAGCAAAGGCGAAUCAGCAGAAGGGGGUCUGCCCAGUAAGGCUGAGUUGAAGAAGACCAUUAUUGGAAUCCUUAAAAAAGUUGACUUCAACACGUCUACUUUUAGCGACAUUCUUAAGAAGCUCGAUGACCAUUACAAGAUUGAUCUGACCGCAAGAAAAGGAGCUAUCAAAAUUAUGAUUCAAGAAGAGCUGACAAAGUUAUCGGAGCAGGAAGACGAUGAUCAAGACAAAAAUGUAGAUGCCAAGAUGAAACAGUCACGACAUCGAGCAAAGGUCGCCGUCUGA
rnacentral:rRNA from 1 species